CACACAGAUGUUGCAGUGAGCCACCUAUCCACUUUUCUUCCUUCAUUUACCUCUAAGAAAUGAGGAUGCUUUUAAUGCUUUGGUUAAAGAGGGGGCGUAUUCUCUUCCCAGCACCUGCAUUGCUUACUGGCUUCAGUGAAGUCAAGAUUACGUGAGCUUCCUGGCUCUGGGAGUAAUUCACCAAAGAUUGCUAACAACAUUCUGUCAAAAAAUGCUUCUGCUGCGGUCAAAGAAGCAAUUGAGACCUUGAGAGGCAACAAUGUAAAAUGCAGCUGUCUUGGAUUUUCGAGCCAACAGGUGAUAUGAUUAUAUAACCACAGAAGUGCUUUUCUUUUUGUUCUUGAACACUUGAGAGUUUUCUUUUGCUGCAGUGGCGGUUCUUUCCCACAAGGAAUUGAGAUUGCUAAGUUUUUGAGAAUAAGGGAGGAGAAGAAGGAGAGGAAGGAGAGGUCUCAUGCUACCACAACCAACACCACCAUGUCUAAGUCGUCGUCAUCAAGAUGGAGUAAAUGUCUAGAGAUCAUCAAAGGCAUCAUUUUCUUAUAUCAGCUGCUCCAGCACAACCGCAGAAACUCUCACCAUAAAAUGAUACUGCUCCACUUUCAUCCUUCAUUUACCUCUAAAGAAAUGAGGAUGCUUUUUCAUGCAUUGCUUACGUUUUAUCUUCUUUCAUCAGGUCACUCCUACUAUGUUAAGUUCAGGAGAUAGUGAAUUUCUGUGAAUGCAGUGAAGUCAAGAUUACGUGAACAUCCUGGAUCUGGGAGUAAUUCACCAAAGAAUGGCUGAGGUCAAAGAAGCAAUUGAGACCUUGAGAGGCAACUACGAUACCAAAAAUCACCAUGAGCAAGCACAUCUGCAACCCAUCUUUCACCUUUGAUUUUCUCAGAUCGCAGAGACUAACGUUGUCUCUCAGGGUCAAAGCUUUAAAUCAGAGAGCCGGUUUACAGAUUAGGCUCUGCCUGGUAUGAACUUUUGGCUUUAGACUUUUAAAGUAGUAGAGACUUUUAAAGUAGUUGAGACUUUUUUGC